AAAGUCGUAACAAGGUUUCCGUAGGUGAACCUGCGGAAGGAUCAUUAUUGAAUUUUGAAGGAGCUGUUUGCUGGCCCUUUUAACCGGGCAUGUGCACGCUUCGCUCAAUUCCCAUCUCCUUACCCCUGUGCACUCAUUGUAGGUCGGUCGGAAGGCCUUCCUAUGUYCUAUUAUAAAUAACCUCAUGAUUGUCGUGGAAUGCAUCGCGUGUAACGCAUCUUUAUACAACUUUCAGCAACGGAUCUCUUGGCUCUCGCAUCGAUGAAGAACGCAGCGAAAUGCGAUAAGUAAUGUGAAUUGCAGAAUUCAGUGAAUCAUCGAAUCUUUGAACGCACCUUGCGCUCCUUGGUACUCCGAGGAGCAUGCCUGUUUGAGUGUCAUGGAAUUCUCAACUCGACCCAUCUUUUGUUAGAUGGGCUGGGCUUGGACUUGGAGGGGUGUAAUACACAUGCUGGCCCUGUGAGGGGUCGGCUCCUCUUGAAUGCAUUAGCUGGGACCUCUGUGGAUCGGCUGCUCGGUAUGAUAGUAUUUCUAUGCCGUCGCUGUGAAGCUCUUUUGGCUCGGCUUCCAACUGUCCCGUCCUGGGUACAACAUCUUUGACCUCUGACCUCAAAUCAGGUAGGAUUACCCGCUGAACUUAAGCAUAUCAAUAAGCGGAGGAAAAGAAACUAACAAGGAUUCCCCUAGUAACUGCGAGUGAAGCGGGAAGAGCUCAAAUUUAAAAUCUGACGGUCUUUGGCCGUCCGAGUUGUAGUCUGGAGAAGUGCUUUCCGUGCUGGACCGUGUACAAGUCUCUUGGAACAGAGCGUCAUAGAGGGUGAGAAUCCCGUCUUUGACACGGACUACCAGUGCUUUGUGAUGCGCUCUCAAAGAGUCGAGUUGUUUGGGAAUGCAGCUCAAAAUGGGUGGUAAAUUCCAUCUAAAGCUAAAUAUUGGCGAGAGACCGAUAGCGAACAAGUACCGUGAGGGAAAGAUGAAAAGCACUUUGGAAAGAGAGUUAAACAGUACGUGAAAUUGCUGAAAGGGAAACACUUGAAGUCAGUCGCGUCGGCCGGAACUCAGCCUUGCUUUUGCUCGGUGCACUUUCUGGUUGACGGGCCAGCAUCAGUUUCGAUCGUCGGAUAAAGGUCAGGGGAAUGUGGCAUCUUCGGAUGUGUUAUAGCCCUUGGUCACAUACGAUGGUUGGGACUGAGGAUCUCAGCACGCCUUUAUGGUCGGGGUUCGCCCACGUUUGUGCUUAGGAUGCUGGCGUAAUGGCUUUAAAUGACCCGUCUUGAAACACGGACCAAGGAGUCUAACACGCCCGCGAGUGUUCGGGUGGCAAACCCGGGCGCGCAAUGAAAGUGAAAGUUGAGACCUCUGUCGUGGAGGGCAUCGACGCCCGGACCAGACCUUCUGUGACGGCUCCGCGGUAGAGCGUGCGUGUUGGGACCCGAAAGAUGGUGAACUAUGCCUGAAUAGGGUGAAGCCAGAGGAAACUCUGGUGGAGGCUCGUAGCGAUUCUGACGUGCAAAUCGAUCGUCAAAUUUGGGUAUAGGGGCGAAAGACUAAUCGAACCAUCUAGUAGCUGGUUCCUGCCGAAGUUUCCCUCAGGAUAGCAGAAGCUCAUGUCAGAUUUAUGUGGUAAAGCGAAUGAUUAGAGGCCUUGGGGUUGAAACAACCUUAACCUAUUCUCAA
rnacentral:rRNA from 1 species